GCAAAACGCGAAGAACCUUACCUAGGCUUGACAUGCAUCUCUAAGCACGUGAAAGCGUGUGACCCUUCGGGGAAUUUGCACAGGUGCUGCAUGGCCGUCGUCAGCUCGUGUCGUGAGAUGUUGGGUUAAGUCCCGCAACGAGCGCAACCCUUGUGAUUAGUUGCCAGCGGGUGAUGCCGGGAACUCUAAUCAGACUGCCCAGAUCAACUGGGAGGAAGGUGGGGACGACGUCAGGUCAGUAUGGCCCUUACGCCUAGGGCUGCACACGUACUACAAUGCCCAGUACAAUGAGAACCGAGACCGCGAGGUGGAGGAAAUCUAUAAAACUGGGCCCAGUUCGGAUUGGAGGCUGCAACUCGCCUCCAUGAAGUUGGAAUCGCUAGUAAUGGCGCAUCAUCUACGGCGCCGUGAAUACGUUCCCGGGUCUUGUACACACCG
rnacentral:rRNA from 1 species